AUUAGCUAGUUGGAGAGGUAACGGCUCACCAAGGCGAUGAUGGGUAGCCGGCCUGAGAGGGUGAACGGCCACAAGGGGACUGAGACACGGCCCUUACUCCUACGGGAGGCAGCAGUGGGGAAUAUUGGACAAUGGACCAAGAGUCUGAUCCAGCAAUUCUGUGUGCACGAUGAAGUUUUUCGGAAUGUAAAGUGCUUUCAGUUGGGAAGAAGAAAGUGACGGUACCAACAGAAGAAGCGACGGCUAAAUACGUGCCAGCAGCCGCGGUAAUACGUAUGUCGCAAGCGUUAUCCGGAUUUAUUGGGCGUAAAGCGCGUCUAGGCGGUCUAUUAAGUCUGAUGUGAAAAUGCGGGGCUCAACCCCGUAUUGCGUUGGAAACUGGCAGACUAGAGUACUGGAGAGGUAAGCGGAACUACAAGUGUAGAGGUGAAAUUCGUAGAUAUUUGUAGGAAUGCCGAUGGGGAAGCCAGCUUACUGGACAGAUACUGACGCUGAAGCGCGAAAGCGUGGGUAGCAAACAGGAUUAGAUACCCUGGUAGUCCACGCCGU
rnacentral:rRNA from 1 species